GGAUGGAUGUCUGAGUGGUUGAAGGAGUCGGUCUUGAAAACCGGCAUAGUUUCUAAAACUAUCGAGGGUUCGAAUCCCUCUCCAUCCG
rnacentral:tRNA from 2 species